rnacentral:rRNA from 1 species
UACGUAGGGUGCGAGCGUUAAUCGGAAUUACUGGGCGUAAAGCGUGCGCAGGCGGUUCGUUGUGUCGGAUGUGAAAGCCCCGGGCUCAACCUGGGAAUGGCAUUGGAAACUGGCGAGCUAGAGUGUGGCAGAGGGGGGUGGAAUUCCGCGUGUAGCAGUGAAAUGCGUAGAGAUGCGGAGGAACACCGAUGGCGAAGGCAGCCCCCUGGGCUGACACUGACGCUCAGGCACGAAAGCGUGGGGAGCAAACAGG